AUUACCUGGGACAGAGGGAAAAUUCAACAGCGACGCCUUCAACACUGAAAUGCCACUUUAACUGAUUAAGCUCUGGGAUCAAGACAGAGACAAACAAUUACAGCUCUGCUCUGUCCACACCUGAGCCAAGGGGUCAUAGGGGGUCUGUAGCCUACGGAGAACAACCAGACUCAACCCUGGUGUGAGGCAGCAGUGCCAACCACUGCACCACCACUGCACCACCACUGCACCACCACUGCGCCACCAUGCCAUCCGACUGGAGGAGGAUUCUUCAGUGAACCAGUUAAGCUGGGUACAGACAUCAGUCUGAAGCCAGCCACUUGCGGGAGGUGCGGACGUCGGCCUUCACCUGGAUGUUACUGGAGAUGUCCUGCGUCAGAG